GUCAUCUUAAUUUGAUAACAUUGUAAAAUUUAUUAACUCUAUAAACUCAUUCAAGCACUAAAUUAAGCCAUUAAGAUUGUUUUAGACAAAUAUUUC